GACGAAGGUGGCGAGCGUUGUUCGGAUUCACUGGGCAUAAAGGGCGCGUAAGCGGCUCCGAAGGUGGCGUGUGAAAUCCCCCGGCUCAACCGGGGAAGUGCGCGCCCAAACCACGGUUCUUGAGGGCGGUAGGGGGGACUGGAACUCUCGGUGGAGCGGGUGAAAUGCGUAGAUAAUCGAGAGGAACACCUGGCGGCGAAGG
rnacentral:rRNA from 1 species